AGGUGAGCAAGGUGCGUGAUGAAUUUGCUUUCGAAAAGCUAACAGUACACACACAAAAGUACCUGCCUGCUAAUGGCAUGUUUUUAAUGCCAGAGGCUUUUCCCAUCACUGAUAGGUCUGUGAUGAGACUGAGGAUAUUUCUACAAGUAAUUUUAAUCAAAUCCACCAAUAAAUGUUUCUCAUUUUUUUCCACCAAGAUGAUUAAACCCUGCCCCCCACACACACAUACGUUGUGGUUGUUUAUUUUUGUUUGCAGUAACCAAGAAGAUUAUUUUUGCUGUUAAACUUCCAGAGGCUUUUAGGCCUAAGAUUGAAUGGACAAUGGAGGAUUUUAAAAGUGAUUUCCAAAAGAGCUUUCCUGCUCUCUUUUAAUUAACUUGUUGAACAGCUAGAAAUUGGAAACAUUUUUCCCUUAUAAGAAUGAAAAUAUUUUGGAGAACAUUUAGGUGGAUUUCUAAUGAAUUUAUGGGAAUUAUGUGGUUUAAAAAUGUCUGCAUUCAUUUUCCUCAUUCUCAGUGAAAGGUGGAUUUUUUUUUUUUCUUCUAGUUUCAUCAUAGACCAGGAACCCCCAUGGUAAAAACUUUCUCCACCAAAUGGUUACAUAUCCAGUGUGCUUUAUGUAGAUUAAAAAUUGAGCUAGCAAAACAAACACAUUUUUAAAUGGAAAACUGUUUUUGCCUCUCAGGACAGUGUUGGCUUUCAGUGAGAACUAUCCUGCCUUUCUUUACCUCAAACCAGAACUGGGGUAAAGCAAAUCCUUCAGGCGUGCCUUCCAGGGCAGCAGCAAUCACUUCCUCCAGAUACUGAGUUCUGGGACCUUACCCUGACAUGUUCUGGAUUUGAACAUCCCCAAGUCUGGAGGCUGCCCGCUGCCUGGUGUGGGCUUAUCUCUGCAGGAGGCGAGCUGAAGUGCUCCGUGCCAUUGCCAUGCCUUUUAAAUUUUCAGGAGUGGAGGAUCCAUGUGGCCACGCCAGCAGCAGUGUGUGCAGUGAGAUGUAUUGCUGUGGGUGCAGUGUGGUGCGGCGCUGGGACCUCGCCUAACUCAUCUCCUGGCAUUGUGGAAGUGGGAGAAGAUGGAUGUGCUGCUCCCUCGCCUCUUCCCUCCGCGUUUUGUUUGUUGUUCAGAAGACAUAUGGGCAGCCAUGUACACAAACACACACAGAUCUCUCCCUGAAGAAUGAUGUCAUGACAGAUUUUUUUGUAUUCAGAGUAAAAUAUUAUAAUGGCACGAUUUCCUUCCUUCAAGCAAGAAAAUGGUUGAGCAGAUCUUCUGUUCUUAUGAAAAGCCUGUGAGUCUAUUACUUUCCUGGGAAUUGGAUUUUUUUUUUUCUUGAAGUGGGCUGCUUUUCUUGCUUUAAAAAAAAAUCACAUUUUGGCUGGCGCACCAUUUUUACCAUGUUUUGUAAUAGAAUGCAUAAAGAACUCUGAAUAUUUUUGCUUUUGAUUUUUAUAUAUAGAAAGCCUUAGAUUGCAUUUUGAAAUACAGCUAUCACUUAAAUUAAAAACAAACAAGCACCCAAACAAAUAAAAAAGCCCUUCAAGCUUUUUAUUUCUAUAAACUUUUCUAUUUACUUGCCCUUUCUGUAGUGCACCUGCAGGGCAUUCUCCUCACCCUGAUGAUCCGCACGGUAAUAGAAGUGUUGUGCUUGAAAAACCACAUCACCCAGCAUUCAGACAUGCACUCCCCUUGUGGUUUGCAAACUGUGUUCUGAUGGCUGGUUUGUUAAUGCUAACAUAAGCCUGGCACAAAAACCUGAUGCAAUCCCUCUACGUCAAAGAGAGUCUGUCCAUUGACUUAUUGGACUUUGACUGGGACAUUUCAAGUACAGAAACAAAGAGACCAAGACAUGAGUCUGGUUGGAAGCCCAGGCAGCCUGUGGUGGGCAGCAGGAGCAGCAGUGGCCAGCCAGGUGUUGGCAGUUGGAUUGGAUGUGGCUGUAACAUGUGGCCAUGGGGGCACUGGAGUGAGGCCUUUCUUUUCACAUUAGGAUUCUUCUCCUAUUUGUUAGACAGAACAAUAUUAACCUUUUGAAUUUAUUUAGAAACUCAUUAGUGCUUUUUCUAUAGUCCGUUCUUUUUCUGAUUAGCUCUCCUCAUUACAAUUCAAAUUUCUUUCUGCUACAUUUACCACAUUGUCCUGCUUUCCCUCAUCUCUAUUGUUGCUUGGCUUAAUUUAUUAAAGCAAUGGAAAAGACGAGGAGGAUCGGCUGACGUAGCACCAUCCCUCAGCCCUGGUGCUCUGGGAGGAGGAGAAGAGAUGAGACCCCCGUGAGCUUGCUGUGGCUGGGAUGGGGGUCCCUUCACACAGACGGGAUGCAGUCUGGUCCCAUGUCCUCGUUUCAUUCACUCCCCAGUUUAAGAGUUUCUAAAUGGAAUUCACUCUGGAAGUUGAUUUUCUGCAUUGCAGCCCAGAGCCAUGCGCAGCGAAUGCCCCAGCACGUCUGGCAACCUGUUUUUAAGAUGCAAGUGUGGAAGCUUCUGUAAUUGCUCCUGUGUUGGUACAACUCCAGUGGAAUAUGAAUUGACAUUUUUGGUCAAUUAUAAGAGACCUAAGCUGAUCCCUGUGCUGAGGACAAGGUGAUGGACGGAUGUUAUGCUUCACAUCUACAUUUAGGCGCUUCACCUCAGAUAAUGCCAUUUUUGUGCUUAUUGUUAUCCGUGUGAUUAAACCUCUGCCACUGUCUGAUUUUGGAGACUGAUGAACAUCAGCCAUUCUUAGAGCCAGCAGAGCCAGAGUUACCUGUGGCUGCAGAGGGGAUUUGGGACAACGCAGCUAAGGAGAGCACAGCGAGCUUAACCUGCUUUCUGGGCUGACACACAGAAUGGCUUCCACUGAAGUGUGUAUAGAAUCAGAGGGUUAUUCCAUACCUGUGGAAUCUAAUUGGACAACCAUCAUGGUGCCUAUGGGAUCUGUUCAGGCCACAUCUAUUAGGAACCUGGCCUGUGCAUCCCAGAAGACAGCAAGAGAUGGAUGGUGCUGGCAUGCGGCCACUUCGGAGAACAGAGCUGGAUCAGCCUGCUGAGGACAGGUGCAGACAAAUGGAACCUGCAGGACAAGCAUGCCAUUACCUUCUUUGCCAAAUUCAUUACAGAGAAGUUGCAAAGUUCCAGUAUGCUGUCCCUGAUCUUUGAGACAAAGCUGUCAGCUGGUUCGUGAAUAAUUCCAGGACACGUUCAGGUAGGGCUGGAGGAAGUGAAGCUUUUGAUGAGGCUGGUACUCUUGGUGCAGCUGAUACCAGGACUGUGUUCUCUUGUGUGGUGGCUUGAUCGACAGGACAGCCUCUAGCUGUGCUAGAUGGGAGCACAAGGCACCCUGGCCAUCCUGCCCUGAACCUUGCAUGUCCUGCAGCCGCAUCCUCAGCCCUUGUGCUCUGAUCCCUGCUGAUUCUUGAAAAACACCAAGUACAAGUGUGUGAGACUCAGCCAAAUCUGAUCUUAAGCUGUUAUUAAAAGCCAGAAAAAUCCAUAGUGUUAUAAAACCUUUUCUCUCAACAGAGAAAUAGAGCAGUCUUUGGAUUACUUGGUGAAAUGCCUGCGUUCAAGAUACAGGAAGCUAUUUUGGCCUUGGCAAAUUGGU